rnacentral:tRNA from 1 species
CAAGAUGUAGCUAAGUACAAAGCACUCAGCUUACACCUGAGAGACACCUGCCACUACCCAGGUCAUCUUGA